rnacentral:rRNA from 1 species
GCCAGCAGCAUCCCACGCUGCAUCCCACGGCUGGCUUGCUUCUGAAGCUAAGCAGGGUUGGUCCUGGAUGGGAGACCAGAUGCUGCUGGAA